AUGAGAUCAGGCAUGGUUACUCGCUGGCUUGACAACGGUGACCGGGCAGGCGGCGUUGUUCACGACGUAAUCGCUGACGCUGCCCAAGAGCACCCUGCAGUUCAGAGAUGCAAAAGAUUAGCACUCUACUAUGACGAAACAAACAAUGUGCCUGAAGAGCAGUUUGGAGGUCGUUUGGUCGGUGGUCGCAACCUCUUGAGCUUGCCAAGGCCCCUGCUCCCAAUGACCAGGGAGCUGAUGGGCAUGUCAUGGAUGGCUUGGCACAGCUUCUCGCGGGGAUCUCCAAACAGGACUUUGGAAACCACGGCAACCUGCCGAAAAAUGAAAAUGCGGGAUCUUGUUACAGCAAAUGUGUCAAGGAGACCACGGUGGUGGUACAUUAUGGUGUGGAGUGGUCACCUCCUUCUGCUUCGCUAUAGUGUUGAGCAUGUCCAGCGUUUCAGCAUCAGGCUUCACACCAUACUUCUUUGCAAUUGA
rnacentral:rRNA from 1 species